rnacentral:rRNA from 1 species
UACGUAGGGUGCAAGCGUUGUCCGGAAUUAUUGGGCGUAAAGAGCUCGUAGGCGGUUUGUUGCGUCGGCGGUGAAAUCCCGAGGCUCAACCUCGGGUCUGCAGUCGAUACGAGCAAACUAGAGUGUUGCAGGGGAGACUGGAAUUCCUGGUGUAGCGGUGAAAUGCGCAGAUAUCAGGAGGAACACCGGUGGCGAAGGCGGGUCUCUGGGCAACAACUGACGCUGAGGAGCGAAAGCGUGGGGAGCGAACAGG